CCAAGUUCAAUUAUGUACAUGCAAUCCUGAAUUUAAUCUUUCAUUAACUAAUGUAUCACACACAUCUUAUAAUUCUUUUUUAAUUUAAAACCUAGAUCUGUGUAUUUAACCAUUAUAAAAUAUAAAACAUUUUGUUCGGUGAUACUAAAAACUGUGAAUGUGUAAGGUUGGUCUUCAUUACUAACACUAUCAAUACAUCAAAAUCAAUAAAAAACAAGACAUCCAAAUUAGUUGGUACAAUUCAAGUAAAUUUUUUAGCUUUUAAAUCGUCUUUUUAUUCCCCCGUUUUCCGUUAUGUAAGCUGCAUUUUCGAACGUUUUAGUUAUGUAAACUGCAUUUUGAAACGUUUUAGUUACGUAAACUGCAUUUUGAAACGUUUUUAUUAUGUAAACUGGAUUUUCGAAUGUUUUUAUUAUAUAAACUGCAUUUUCGAACGUUUUUGUUAUGUAUACUGCAUUUUGAAAUGUUUUUGUUAUGUAAACUGCAUUUUGGAAUGUCUUUCAAAUGAAUAGAUGAUGAAUAGAUA